GAGUGGCGAUGUGUGGUGAAUUGGAGUGGAAGAAGAAAUUGAAAUUUUUUUAAAAAAUGUACCAAUAAAAUUUAAAAUUUCAUAAAAACUCCCGUACAUAUACAGUAAAAAAGUUUUUUCAUAUACAAGUUACAGUGUAACACCUAACUGAUAUGCACCCAAAAUUUCCUCGAAUAUUCUAGCAAUAGGUAUAUAUUAUGAAUGCCAUCGUCAAAAUGAUCCUGCAACACAUUAAAGUUUAAUAGGGAUGACAAAUGUUCUGACAUUUGGUCAGAUUUGAUUGACAGUCUUUGUGCUGCUUCCUAAUUGUGCUCAAGACUUUCAUGCUUCUCCGUAAAUAAUUACC
rnacentral:lncRNA from 1 species